UGGGAUGUGGCCAAGUGGUAAGGCAACGGUUUUUGGUACCGUCAUACGCAGGUUCGAACCCUGCCAUCCCAACUA
rnacentral:tRNA from 1 species